rnacentral:tRNA from 1 species
GGAGCGGUACUCAAGUGGCUGAAGAGGACGGUUUGCUAAAUCGUUAGACGGGUCUCCCGUGCGGGGGUUCGAAUCCCCCCCGCUCCG